rnacentral:rRNA from 1 species
UACGGGGGGGGCAAGCGUUGUUCGGAAUUACUGGGCGUAAAGGGCGCGUAGGCGGCCUUCUAAGUCGAACGUGAAAUCCCCGGGCUCAACCCGGGAACUGCGUCCGAUACUGGAAGGCUUGAAUCCGGGAGAGGGAUGCGGAAUUCCAGGUGUAGCGGUGAAAUGCGUAGAUAUCUGGAGGAACACCGGUGGCGAAGGCGGCAUCCUGGACCGGCAUUGACGCCGAGGCGCGAAAGCCAGGGGAGCAAACGGG